rnacentral:rRNA from 1 species
GAUGAACGCUGGCGGCGUGCAUAACACAUUCAAGUCGAACGAAGCAUGAGGGACUGCGACUUCGGUCAAAGGAACUUAUGACUUAGUGGCGGACGGGUGAGUAACGCGUGAGCAACCUACCUUUCAUUACGGGAUAACGGCCGGAAACAGCCGCUAAUACCGUAUAAUAUAUACGAGUCGCAUGGCUUGUAUAUCAAAGAUUUAUUGAUGAAAGAUGGGCUCGCGUCUGAUUAGAUAGUUGGUGGGGUAACGGCCUACCAAGUCGACGAUCGGUAGCCGGACUGAGAGGUUGAACGGCCACAUUGGAACUGAGAUACGGCCCAG